rnacentral:rRNA from 1 species
GAUGAACGCUGGCGGCGUGCCUAAUACAUGCAAGUCGAGCGAAUGGAUUAAGAGCUUGCUCUUAUGAAGUUAGCGGCGGACGGGUGAGUAACACGUGGGUAACCUGCCCAUAAGACUGGGAUAACUCCGGGAAACCGGGGCUAAUACCGGAUAACAUUUUGAACCGCAUGGUUCGAAAUUGAAAGGCGGCUUCGGCUGUCACUUAUGGAUGGACCCGCGUCGCAUUAGCUAGUUGGUGAGGUAACGGCUCACCAAGGCAACGAUGCGUAGCCGACCUGAGAGGGUGAUCGGCCACACUGGGACUGAGACACGGCCCAGACUCCUGCGGGAGGCAGCAGUAGGGAAUCUUCCGCAAUGGACGAAGGUCUGACGGAGCAACGCCGCGUGAGUGAAGAAGGCUUUCGGGUCGUAAAACUCUGUUGUUAGGGAAGAACAAGUGCUAGUUGAAUAAGCUGGCACCUUGACGGUACCUAACCAGAAAGCCACGGCUAACUACGUGCCAGCCGCCGCAGUAA